UCAUAUGAACUUGCCUACAUUGUCUAUGCACUAGAUCCCAUUAGAAAUCUAUAGUUAAGCACAUUUGGGAUAGAGUAUUAAUGAGAUGGGUGAUCUCUGGGGAAGUCUUAGUGUUUUACAUGCC
rfam:Picea glauca, whole genome shotgun sequence.